rnacentral:rRNA from 1 species
AUUGAACGCUGGCGGCAUGCUUUACACAUGCAAGUCGAACGGCAGCGCGGGCUUCGGCCUGGCGGCGAGUGGCGAACGGGUGAGUAAUGCAUCGGAACGUGCCCAGUAGUGGGGGAUAGCCCGGCGAAAGCCGGAUUAAUACCGCAUACGACCUGAGGGUGAAAGCGGGGGACCGAAAGGCCUCGCGCUAUUGGAGCGGCCGAUGUCGGAUUAGCUAGUUGGUGGGGUAAAGGCUUACCAAGGCGACGAUCCGUAGCUGGUCUGAGAGGACGACCAGCCACACUGGGACUGAGACACGGCCCAGACUCCUACGGGAGGCAGCAGUGGGGAAUUUUGGACAAUGGGGGCAACCCUGAUCCAGCCAUGCCGCGUGCGGGAAGAAGGCCUUCGGGUUGUAAACCGCUUUUGUUCGGGAAGGAAUCCUCUGGGCUAAUACCCCGGGGGGAUGACGGUACCGGAAGAAUAAGCACCGGCUAACUACGUG